rnacentral:rRNA from 1 species
AGCGAACGCUGGCGGCAGGCUUAACACAUGCAAGUCGAGCGGGCAUCCUUGUGGUGUCGGCGGCAGACGGGUGAGUAACGCGUGGGAACGUGCCCUUCGGUUCGGAAUAACUCAGGGAAACUUGAGCUAAUACCGGAUACGUGCGAGAGCAGAAAGGUUUAUCUGCCGAAGGAUCGGCCCGCGUCUGAUUAGCUAGUUGGUGAGGUUACGGCUCACCAAGGCGACGAUCAGUAGCUGGUUUGAGAGGAUGAUCAGCCACACUGGGACUGAGACACGGCCCAGACUCCUACGGGAGGCAGCAGUGGGGAAUAUUGGACGAUGGAGGCAACCCUGAUCCAGCCAUGCCGCGUGAGUGAUGACGGCCUUAGGGUUGUAAAGCUCUUUUCUCCGGGACGAUAAUGACGGUACCGGAGGAAUAAGCCCCGGCUAACUUCGUG